AGUGAACGCUGGCGGUAUGCCUAACACAUGCAAGUCGAACGGCAGCACAGUAAGAGCUUGCUCUUACGGGUGGCGAGUGGCGGACGGGUGAGGAAUACAUCGGAAUCUACUUUUUCGUGGGGGAUAACGUAGGGAAACUGACGCUAAUACCUCAUACGACCUACGGGUGAAAGCAGGGGAUCUUCGUACCUUGCGCGAUUGAAUGAGCCGAUGUCGGAUUAGUUAGUUGGCGGGGUAAAGGCCCACCAAGGCGACGAUCCGUAGCUGGUCUGAGAGGAUGAUCGGCCACACUGGAACUGAGACACGGUCCAGACUCCUACGGGAGGAAGCAGUGGGGAAUAUUGGACAAUGGGCGCAAGCCUGCUCAAGACAUACCGCGUGGGUGAAGAAGGCCUUCGGGUUGUAAAGCCCUUUUGUUGGGAAAGAAAAGCAGCAGGUUAAUACCCCGAUGUUCUGACGGUACCCAAAGAAUAAGCACCGGCUAACUUCGUG
rnacentral:rRNA from 1 species